GGUUAAGCGACUAAGCGUAUACGGUGGAUGCCUUGGCAGUCAGAGGCGAUGAAGGACGUAGUAACUUGCGAAAAGCGUUGGCGAGCUAGUAACAAGCAUUUGAGCUAACGAUUUCCGAACGGGGAAACCC
rnacentral:rRNA from 1 species